GUGCCAGCCGCCGCGGUAAUACGGAGGGUGCAAGCGUUAAUCGGAAUUACUGGGCGUAAAGCGCACGCAGGCGGUCUGACAAGUCGGAUGUGAAAUCCCCGGGCUCAACCCGGGAACUGCAUUCGAAACUGUCAGGCUGGAGUCUUGUAGAGGGGGGUAGAAUUCCAGGUGUAGCGGUGAAAUGCGUAGAGAUCUGGAGGAAUACCGGUGGCGAAGGCGGCCCCCUGGACAAAGACUGACGCUCAGGUGCGAAAGCGUGGGGAGCAAACAGGAUUAGAUACCCUGGUAGUCCACGCCGUAAACGAUGUCGACUUGGAGGUUGUGCCCUUGAGGCGUGGCUUCGGAGCUAACGCGUUAAGUCGACCGCCUGGGGAUACGGCCGCAAGAUUAAAACUCAAAUGAAUUGACGGGGCCCGCACAAGCGGUGGAGCAUGUGGUUUAAUUCGAUGCAACGCGAAGAACCUUACCUACUCUUGACAUCCAGAGAAUUUAGCAGAGAUGCUUUAGUGCCUUUCGGGAACUCUGAGACAGGUG
rnacentral:rRNA from 1 species